rnacentral:misc_RNA from 1 species
ACGAAUUCUGUCAGUUGGUUGAUGCUGGUGUCUUAGGAUGCAUGUGCUCGCCUUCUGCAUUUUUCUUAUCCAUACACCUGUGCACCUCUGAGGGGGCUUGAUGGCGUUCGGUCAAACGGACGUGGUUGGCCCUUCUCUCUUUCACAUACACUAUUUUGAUCUAUGAACGUGAUUGAGCCGCAAGGCCAUAAACUUAAAUA